GACGAACGCUGGCGGCGUGCUUAACACAUGCAAGUCGAACGGAAAGGCCUGCUUUCCCUUGUGGAUUGCGGGUACUCGAGUGGCGAACGGGUGAGUAACACGUGAGUGAUCUGCCCCCAACUUGGGUAUAAGCCUGGGAAACUGGGUCUAAUUCCCGAUAGGACUGCAGGGUGGUGCCUGUGGUGGAAAACGAUUUUCUAGUGGUUGGGGAUGAGCUCGCGGCCUAUCAGCUUGUUGGUGGGGUAAUGGCCUACCAAGGCGGCGACGGGUAGCCGGCCUGAGAGGGUGGACGGCCACAUUGGGACUGAGAUACGGCCCAGACUCCUACGGGAGGCAGCAGUGGGGAAUAUUGCACAAUGGGCGGAAGCCUGAUGCAGCGACGCCGCGUGGGGGAUGACGGCCUUCGGGUUGUAAGCUCCUUUCGACCGCGAGGAAGCCACCUGGUUGGAAGGGUGGUGACGGUAGUGGUAGAAGAAGCACCGGCUAACUACGUG
rnacentral:rRNA from 1 species